rnacentral:rRNA from 1 species
UUAAGCAUAUCAAUAAGCGGAGGAAAAGAAACCAACAGGGAUUGCCCCAGUAACGGCGAGUGAAGCGGCAACAGCUCAAAUUUGAAAUCUGGCCUCGGCCCGAGUUGUAAUUUGUAGAGGAAGCUUCUGGUGCGGCACCGGCUGAGUCCCCUGGAACGGGGCGCCAUAGAGGGUGAGAGCCCCGUAUAGCCGGCUGCCUAGCCUGUGUGAAGCUCCUUCGACGAGUCGAGUAGUUUGGGAAUGCUGCUCAAAAUGGGAGGUAAAUUCCUUCUAAAGCUAAAUAUUGGCCAGAGACCGAUAGCGCACAAGUAGAGUGAUCGAAAGAUGAAAAGCACUUUGAAAAGAGGGUUAAACAGCACGUGAAAUUGUUAAAAGGGAAGCGCUUGUGACCAGACUUGCGCCGGGGCGAUCAUCCGGUGUUCUCACCGGUGCACUCGCCCCGGCUCAGGCCAGCAUCGGUUUUCGCGGGGGGAUAAAGGCACCGGGAACGUAGCUCCUCCGGGAGUGUUAUAGCCCGGGGCGUAAUGCCCCCGCGGGGACCGAGGACCGCGCAUCUGCAAGGAUGCUGGCGUAAUGGUCACCAGCGACCCGUCUUGAAACACGGACCAAGGAGUCAAGGUUUUGCGCGAGUGUUUGGGUGUAAAACCCGCACGCGUAAUGAAAGUAAACGUAGGUGAGAGCUUCGGCGCAUCAUCGACCGAUCCUGAUGUAUUCGGAUGGAUUUGAGUAGGAGCGUUAAGCCUUGGACCCGAAAGAUGGUGAACUAUGCUUGGAUAGGGUGAAGCCAGAGGAAACUCUGGUGGAGGCUCGCAGCGGUUCUGACGUGCAAAUCGAUCGUCAAAUCUGAGCAUGGGGGCGAAAGACUAAUCGAACCAUCUAG